rnacentral:lncRNA from 1 species
GGUUUUUUUAAGACUACGGUUUUUUUGCCCACCCCUAACCCGAUCUGCCUCUUUUACUCACCCACUAGCAGGCUGUCACUCACCCACAAAACUUGUCACGCCACGGCCAUUGUUGACCAGCCAUCAUCGCUGUCACGCCACGCCCAUUGCCGACCAGCCCAUCACUGAUCACAUCGCCGUUGACGGUGUGCUUGACGAUUUUGGACCUUUUUCACCUACGUAGGUAAUUAAAUUUAGCAUGUUGAGGAAAGUUUUGAUUUAUUGUAUUUAUAUUUUAAAAUUAUUAGAAAUAAGUUAUUGGAAAUGUAGAUUUUGUUUGAAUUAUAUAUGAUUAAUACAAUUUAUUUUUCAUGGUAUAAAAAUGAAGGAUUUGGAAAAAAAACUACAAAGUCGAAGAUUUUGAAGAAUUAGAUUAACAACAAUUUAAAUGGAAAUAAUGAAAAAACUGAUAAUGAUGUGGAUGUGAAACCAAAAAAGUAUGAGCCAAAGUUUGGGAUGUUGUUUGAUAAACACCAUUAUCUUCUUAUGAGCCAAAAAAGGAAGAAUUAGAUGACAACAAUUAAGGUAAGAUUAAACUACUUACUUAAUUAUUCUACAAUUAAUUUAAUUUUAAUUUUAAUGUAUCUUUUUAUGGAUUUGCAGGAUUCAAAUGUACAAACACCAUUAUCUUCUGAGGUGGAUAUUGUAGUCCCAACGCAUGAGAGCAAUAAGGAUCCUGUAAGUUUUAUGUUCUUUGAUGUAAUACUAUUUAAUUAUUUUAAUUUUUAAUGGUCACUAAAUAAUGGUCAUUAUUUAAGAACCUGUGAUCGCAUACCAAUUACAAGGAUGUGAUAUUUAUCCAUGGUUUCCUUUUGAUUCUUACAUUGUAAGUUAUAAUCCAAUUUCUAUAUUUAUGCCUAGUUAAUUUUGCAUUUUCUGGAAUGUAAUAUGGUUCUUAUUUUGUACAAACUAGCAAUCCCCAUCACUCCCAUCUAUGUUGCCUUAUUCUUCAUCUUGGAUAUCGUAUAAAGGUUCUCAACAAAGGAGUUUUCAGUAAUCGCUACUUCAACAGAAUGAUAAUAACAAAGAAGUUUGAAGCAGACUUAACAGAUUGAUCAUUGACUUAUUCUUUUGUUGUGUUUUGUGUAUUAGUUGGUUGGAUGAUAUUACUCUAGUGCUCAAUGAUUGAACGUGGAAAUAUUUUGAAGGGUUUUUAUCCAUAUAUUCAAAGGGUUAAGUGUGUCAAUAACCAUUACAACAAUAAGAGUAGUUCAUAUAGAAAUGUCAAAUUAACCACACACAAAAGAAAAAGGUACAAAUAACUUAUUUCUAGUAAUUUUAAAAUAUAAAUACAAAAAAAAACCAAAUACUUUUCUAAUCAAAGUAUCACAUACAAGGUU